rnacentral:rRNA from 1 species
ACGCUGGCGGCGUGCCUAAUACAUGCAAGUCGAACGGUCUUUUCUAUGGAAGCUUGCUUCCGCUGAGAAGAUAGUGGCGGACGGGUGAGUAACACGUGGGUAACCUGCCCCAGUAAGAGGGGGAUAACAUCCGGAAACGGGUGCUAAUACCGCAUAGUUUUCUGAUCGCAUGAUCGGGAAAGGAAAGACGGCCUUUGUGCUGUCGCUUAUGGAUGGACCCGCGGCGUAUUAGUUAGUUGGUGAGGUAAUGGCUCACCAAGACGAUGAUACGUAGCCGACCUGAGAGGGUGAUCGGCCACAUUGGGACUGAGACACGGCCCAAACUCCUACGGGAGGCAGCAGUAGGGAAUCUUCCGCAAUGGACGAAAGUCUGACGGAGCAACGCCGCGUGAGUGAAGAAGGUUUUCGGAUCGUAAAACUCUGUUGUCAGAGAAGAACAAGUCGGAGAGUAACUGCUCCGGCCUUGACGGUAUCUGACCAGAAAGCCACGGCUAACUACGUG